UACGUAGGGGGCGAGCGUUGUCCGGAUUUAUUGGGCGUAAAGAGCGUGUAGGCGGCCAGGUAGGUCUGCUGUGAAAACUCGAGGCUCAACCUCGAGACGUCGGCGGAAACCAUCUGGCUAGAGUCCGGAAGAGGAGAGUGGAAUUCCUGGUGUAGCGGUGAAAUGCGUAGAUAUCGGGAGGAACACCUGUGGCGAAAGCGGCUCACUGGACCAUUACUGACGCUGAGGCUCGAAAGCUAGGGGAGCAAACAGG
rnacentral:rRNA from 1 species